GCAUCCCAGGUGACCCCAGAACAUUUUUUUGUGCCCUAGAUGAGCUGCCCUACCUGCGCUGCCCCCUCCACACCAUUUUCAAGCUCACGCCUGUUGCCUAUGGCUGCAAAGUGGAGACAAUUUCCAUGGGUGUGGAGGCAGUGAACACCCACCGGGAAAAGCCCUCCCUGAACUCACACGACCUCCCCAGCAGGCAGAGCCCUGUGAGGAUGAGGAGGAACAGCUUUACCCCGCGGGCCAGCGCCGACACCGUAAAGCGCCCGCGGCACCACAGCCUGGGCAGCAAACCCCUCCACCUGCUGGGGCCUCUCCCAUCCCUGGAUGCUCGAGGGCCUCUCCCAUCCCUGGAAGCUGGAGAAGGGGCUGAGCAGCCACAGCUGGAAGUCACUGUCCAGGUGGU